CACGGGGGGAGCAAGCGUUGUUCGGAAUUACUGGGCGUAAAGGGCGUGUAGGCGGUCAGGUAAGUGGGAUGUGAAAUGCUUCGGCUUACCCGGAGUACUGCAUCCCAAACUGCUUGGCUUGAGUAUGGGAGAGGAUGAGGGAAUUCCUGGUGUAGCGGUGAAAUGCGUAGAUAUCAGGAGGAACACCGGUGGCGAAGGCGCUCAUCUGGCCCAAUACUGACGCUGAGGCGCGAAAGCUAGGGGAGCAAACGGG
rnacentral:rRNA from 1 species